rnacentral:misc_RNA from 1 species
GAUGAAGAACGUGGCGAAAUGCGAUAAGUAAUGUGAAUUGCAGAAUUCAGUGAAUCAUCGAAUCUUUGAACGCACAUUGCGCCCCUCGGUAUUCCGAGGGGCAUGCCUGUUCGAGCGUCAUUAUAACCCUUCAAGCUCAGCUUGGUGUUGGGGCCUGCUGUAACUGGUAGCCCUUAAAAUCAGUGGCAGUGCUAUUAGGCUCUAAGCGUAGUAAUUCUUCUCGCUAUAGUGUGUAGUGAGCGCUUGCCAGAACCCCAAACUUUUAUAUGAUUGACCUCGGAUCAGGUAGGGAUACCCGCUGAACUUAAGCAUAUCAAUAAGCGGAGGA